rnacentral:rRNA from 1 species
UGGGGAAUAUUGGACAAUGGGCGAAAGCCUGAUCCAGCCAUGCCGCGUGUGUGAAGAAGGCCUUUUGGUUGUAAAGCACUUUAAGCGAGGAGGAGGCUACUUGGAUUAAUACUCUAGGAUAGUGGACGUUACUCGCAGAAUAAGCACCGGCUAACUCUGUGCCAGCAGCCGCGGUACUACAGAGGGUGCGAGGGUUAAUCGGAUUUACUGGGCGUAAAGCUUGCGUAGGCGGCUUUUUAAGUCGGAUGUGAAAUCCCUGAGCUUAACUUAGGAAUUGCAUUCGAUACUGGGAAGCUAGAGUAUGGGAGAGGAUGGUAGAAUUCCAGGUGUAGCGGUGAAAUGCGUAGAGAUCGGGAGGAAUACCGAUGGCGAAGGCAGCCAUCUGGCCUAAUACUGACGCUGAGGUACGAAAGCAUGGGGAGCAAACAGG